GAUGAACGCUGGCGGCGUGCCUAAUACAUGCAAGUCGAGCGAACAGACGAGGAGCUUGCUCCUCUGACGUUAGCGGCGGACGGGUGAGUAACAUGUGGAUAAUCUACCUAUAAGACUGGGAUAACUUCGGGAAACCGGAGCUAAUACCGGAUAAUAUAUUGAACCGCAUGGUGCAAUAGUGAAUGACGGUUUUGCUGUCACUUAUAGAUGGAUCCGCGCCGCAUUAGCUAGUUGGUAAGGUAACGGCUUACCAAGGCAACGAGUCGUAGCCGACCUGAGAGGGUGAUCGGCGACACGGGAAGUUAGACGCGGUCCAGACUCCUACGGAAGGCCGCAGUAGGCAAUCUGCCGCAAUGGGCGGAAACCUUGCGGAGUGGCGCCGCGCGUGUGAUGGCGGUCUUGCGAUCGUGAAAAUGUGUUAUUAGGGAUGAACCAAUUUGUAAGUAACCGUGGACGUAUUGACGGUACCUGGUCAGAAAGCCCCGGCUAACUACGUG
rnacentral:rRNA from 1 species